CGUGACGCUCCGUGCCGUGACGCAGGAGCCAUCAGCUGUUUAUGUUUUGCUCCGGGUUGUUAGGCUGUGUGUCCGUUAGGAAACGUAAAAAGUGCGCGUAUUAAGCGUUUAUUAACACAACCGCAGUAAACCGUGUCUAGUGUUUAUGUCCGCGUGUUUAUGUUCGUAGGUCUUCGGCAGUGUGAGACGGCUCCAGCGGAUCCGGGGGCUCCGGUGAAGGAGGGGCCGGGCGGAGGUCGCUGGAGUUCGGCAUGGAGAGCGGAGAUGGAGGCGGAGGAGCCCGAGGCCCGGAACUGCGAUGCGCCUCCUUUAACCAGGACUCCACCUCGCUGGCUGUGGGAACUAAGGAAGGUUACAGACUGUUCUCGGUCACCGCCGUGGAUAAACUGGAGUGCAUUCACGAAAGCGCCGAGAAUCCGGACGUCUACAUCGUGGAGCGUUUGUUCUCCAGCAGCCUGGUGGUGGUGGUGAGUCACUCGAUGCCGCGGCGCAUGAACGUCUACCACUUCAAGAAAGGAACGGAGAUCUGCAAUUACAGCUACUCCAACUCCAUCCUCUCAGUGCGCCUCAACCGACAGAGGCUGGUGGUUUGUCUGGAAGAGUCCAUUUACAUCCACAACAUAAAGGACAUGAAGCUUCUGAAGACUCUCCUGAACACACCAACUAAUCCCUCAGGUCUCUGUGCUCUCUCUAUCAACCAUUCCAAAUCUUACCUGGCAUAUCCUGGCAGCGCCACCAUCGGAGAAAUCACUAUUUAUGACGCCAACAAUCUGAACACAGUGACCGAGAUUUCAGCUCACGACAGUCAGUUAGCCGCCAUCACCUUCAAUGCCUCAGGCACCAAACUGGCCAGUGCUUCAGAGAGGGGCACAGUGAUCCGAGUGUUCUCCAUUCCAGAAGGACAGAGACUGUUUGAGUUCCGCAGAGGAAUGAAAAGAUACGUGAACAUCAGCUCUCUGUCCUUCAGCCCUGAUGCUCAGUUCCUGUGUGCUUCAAGCAAUACUGAGACGGUCCACAUCUUCAAACUAGAGCAGCAUGGACAUGGUGGGGAGGAGGAGAACCCCUCGUGGUCAGCGUAUGUGGGGAAGAUGUUUUCUGCAGCGAGCAGCUACCUGCCCGCGCAGGUUUCAGGAAUGAUGAGUCAGGAUCGAGCGUUCGCCACGGUCCGCCUUAACACACAAGGCCACAAACACACCUGCACUUUAACAACAAUCCAGAAGCUUCCGCGGCUCCUCGUAGCCUCGUCUGAAGGGCAGCUCUUUAUUUAUAACAUCGACCCUCAGGACGGGGGCGAGUGCAUGCUGGUACACACACACAGGCUGUUAGGAUCGGACGACAAAGCCGAGGUGUCUGAGGGAACGGUGGCUCCUUCCUACGCUGCCACAGCAGCCAUUGGCACCUGCGGACCUGCUUCUGCCACACUAACCGGCUAUUCCGAGGAUGGAGGAGUGAUGAAAGGCGAGGUGAUUCCAGAGCACGAGUUCGCCGCCGGUCCCGUGUGCCUGGAUGACGAGACCGAGUUUCCUCCAGUGAGCAUUCAGACCCCGUAAAUCCACCCAAAUCACUAAACUCCGCCUCCAUCUCCAACCUGCACCGUCUGUUCCACGGCAGUGGGUUUAACUGUGUCUGUGUUCGCUAGUGCAGUGUCGUGUCCCUGGGGCUCAGGCUGUGUGUCACAGCAACAGUCACUAAGCUGAUGGUCUUCACCUCAGUGAUGAUCCGUAAAAACACUCCUGAGCUCAGAAGUUCACUCUCGUGGUUCUCAGGGUUCCUGAUGGCAGGCGUGAGCGGAGAUGAAGAUAAUGAGACGUCACUAAAAUUAUAUUUUUACAGACAUCCAGUCAGGCAUUUUUAACGAAGGCAGUCGUUUUAUUUCACUACGGUCCUUUUUGCUCAAACUGACCUGCAAGUUAACAAAUUAAUACGUUUUUUCUUUCUUUCUAUUUCUAAAGCUAUGAAGCUUCACAGAUCUUGAUGAUGUAAAUGUUUGCGCAGUUUUUUUCCCCUCAACCCGAGUACCGUUUAUCCGAAAUCAUUUUAAUUUUGACUGAAAGCAAUAACGUGGACGAAACCUAAUGUCUGUUAGCAGGUUGAACAGCAAGCGUGCGAUGGACAUGACUAUAAACAAUUAAAAAAAAAAAAAAAGCAAGCGAUUAUCUUCUUGAACAAAGUAUUUAAUAUACAACAUGUUUACUAUCUUAAAAAUAAUAAGAAAAUCAAUGUAUCGUCUAAUGUCUAUAAUCCGAAACGGAUCAUGUCUCUCGUGUGUGUGUGUGUGUGUGUGUGUGUGUGUGUGUUUGUGUGUGUGUGUGUGUGUGUGUGUGUGUGUGUGUGUGUGUG